GAUGAACGCUGGCGGCGUGCCUAAUACAUGCAAGUCGAGCGAACGGACGAGACGCUUGCUUCUCUGAUGUUAGCGGCGGACGGGUGAGUCACACGUGGAUAACCUACCUAUAAGACUGGGAUCACUUCGGGAAACCGGCGCUAAUACCGGAUAAUAUUUUGAACCGCAUGGUUCAAAAGUGAAAGUCGGUCUUGCUGUCACUUAUCGAUGGAUCCGCGCUGCAUUAGCUAGUUGGUAAGGUAACGGCUUAGCAAGGCAACGAUGCAUAGCCGACCUGAGAGAGGGAUCGGCCACACGGGAACUGAGACACGGUCCAGACUACUACGGGAGGCAGCAGUAGGGAAUCGGCCGCAAUGGGCGAAAGCCUGACGGAGCAACGCCGCGUGAGUGAUGAAGGUCUUGGGAGCGUAAAACUCUGUUAUUAGGGAAGAACAGAUGUGUAAGUAACUGUGCACAGCGUGACGGUACCUAAUCAGAAAGCCACGGCUAACUACGUG
rnacentral:rRNA from 1 species